GACGAACGCUGGCGGCGUGCUUAACACAUGCAAGUCGAACGGAAAGGCCCUGAUUUUGUGGGUUGCUCGAGUGGCGAACGGGUGAGUAACACGUGAGUAACAUGUCCUUGACUUUGGGAUAACUUCAGGAAACUGGGGCAAAUAACGGAUAUGAGCUCCUGCUGCAUGGUGUGGGUUGGAAAGUUUCGGCGGUUGGGGAUGGACUCGCGGCUUAUCAGCUUGUUGGUGGGGUAGUGGCUUACCAAGGCUUUGACGGGUAGCCGGCCUGAGAGGGUGACCGGCCACAUUGGGACUGAGAUACGGCCCAGACUCCUACGGGAGGCAGCAGUGGGGAAUAUUGCACAAUGGGCGGAAGCCUGAUGCAGCAACGCCGCGUGCGGGAUGACGGCCUUCGGGUUGUAAACCGCUUUCGCCUGUGACGAAGCGUGAGUGACGGUAAUGGGUAAAGAAGCACCGGCUAACUACGUG
rnacentral:rRNA from 1 species